ACCUCAUAGCUCUCUACUGAUAGUGAGAGACACAACUCUACAACAAGGGAAACAUGACUGGAUUAAGGAAAACAUUGCAGAGGGAGCGAGGUCAGAGGCCCACAGAGGUUCUGGAGCGUCCAUCCUCAGAGGAGUUCACAUUUCAUUUGGACACAUCCCUAUAACAUCCAGCAUAACUUUUUUACUGGCCCUGCUUUGAGCAGGGUUGCGCCAAAUGGACUCUUGAAGUCCCUUCCAGACUCUUAUGUCCACCAUCUUUUUUUCUUGGACAUCUUUGUGCUAGACAAUUUUUGGAAACAUUGUGAUUGAUGGCUUCGAUGAAUGGAUCCGUCUGGUCUGACAAAAGCUGAAAUGCCCUGAUCAAAUCCCAGAUCACCAGGUUCAGUGUAACAUAUACUUACAACAUCUUUUACUCACUACCAACCUGACACUUAGAGCUACAGCAGAAUGUAGAGCAGCCUGAAGGACCAAAAUGCAAUCUGGAUCUGCCUGAGAAGGUAUUCAGCUUUCUUCCAUUUCCAGUGGAGAAGCAUAAGCCUGCCUGAGCUGAAGGCUGGAGGAAUUUUAUCAUUGGAUGGAAGGUACUUUUUCUAAAGUCAUUAAUAAGCAGAAGAGCAUGGAAAAUGUCAUCAGAGAUUGUCUUGUGAAAGAACAAUUAUUAUCUGUUGGAACAGCUCAAGCAGAGAGAAAGAGUAUCCUCCUGGAGCUAAGAAACCUCUCCCAGUGAAAUUUAACCAGGGCUUGAUGUAUUCCUGUGCCAAAUGUUGCUUUUGAAGAAUCAGCAUUUCCUUCUCAUCCUCUGAUGUGACUUGACCAAAGAGAGGAAGGGGACUGAGAAAGCAACAUGGUAGGGCAGAGCUGCCCAACUGUGUGAAACAACCACAAGCACUCUUGGAGCUGAUGCAUUACAGACACCUUCACAGAGUCAUUCAGAAUAGCUGUUUUUGACAGACUGGAACCAGAGGAGACCAAGAGGGACAAGAGAUGUGAGUGGCAUUUUAGUAGGUGACACAAAAGUCACUGACAUGUGGAUCACUCCUCAAGCACAGACAGCCACCCAAAU
rnacentral:lncRNA from 1 species